UGAGAGGGCUUCUCCUGAAUUGGGGGAUCUCCAGCCUUGCAGCCUCUCCUGUAUCUGCCAAGACAAGGGCUCUGAGCUCUGUUCAGAUAUCUGUGCCUCCCCGGGGUGCUCUCUCAGUGGUGACCCCAACACUGCCCUCUGGGCCUUGCCCUCGCUUGUCCCUGGCUGCCUCCUUUUUAAUCCAGUGAGCUGGCUGCAACCAGCCAGGGCACAAGCCACUCCCCAGAUGGCUAAGUAGUGUAGCCACAAGGGGAAGGAAGGGCCAGCUCCCACAUCCUGGGCACCUACUGUGUGUCAGGCAGGCCCCAGGAAAGGAACUUUGUACUCAUAUUGUUAUCACAUUUCUUUCUCACAGCAGAGCCUCAUGAGGCAAAUAUUAUCACACUCAUUUCACAGAGGAGGAAGUCGAAGCUGGGCCUGGCAGUGUGAGUACUUGGGCCCAGACCUGUCUGACUCCUGCUUGUGUCUCCUCUCUCCCCAGCUGCAGAAAGCUCAUGCUCUGAAUCACUGUGCGCUCACUGCUGCUCUACUCCUGCAUCAUCCGUGCCCACCCAGUUGCACACACUUGCAGCUCACAAGCACCAAGGCUGAGAACCUGACACAGCAGAUGGAAAUAACCCUGUGAGGCUGCUUCUGGGUCUUGGCUGGGAGGACCAGACACACCACAUUGUUCCUUCUCCUUGGCAUCGGAUGUUGCUCAGGGAAAUGUUAGCAGGCAAACACAAUUACUGUGCAAUAUUAGAAAAGAUGCCAUCAAAGCUGUUGCUUGUCUGUGAACUUCUGCGGUGGCUUUUGCCCAGAAGCAGUAAACUGGGAAGGAAGCAGGAAGGCAGGUUGAGACUGGCUCCUCCUGGAGUUCCCUGGCACUUUCCCCAGCUGCCUCACCCUCCCUCCAGCCUGCAGCCCUGCCUGAGUCAUGCAGCUCCCAGCACUCCUGGGACAGCUGAGCCCUGUGAACGCAUGCAGCAUUCGUCAGCAGCCCAGGCUCACACCGUUCCCUGUGCAUCACCCUCCACCUGGUCCUGGAAGUGCUCCACUACCUCAGGGUGUUCAACAGCCAAAAUCCUGGGCUACUGCUGGGCAAGAUCCUUCAUAGAUUUGCCAUGUGCCAUGCCUCACCUGCUAGACCAUAAAUGUCUUGAGGGCAGGGACCUUUCAUCUUCUCAUUUGAGUGCUCAGUAAGCACCUACUAUGUGCCAGGCACAGUGCUGGAUGCCAGGUACAAUGGGGUUGACAUGCAGUCAGCACACAAUGGAACAGUGUAGCUGCCCUGAGACCUCUGAGAAUCCUUGGCUGUCCCUGACUGUACUGCCUAGGCCUCCUCACAGUCCUUCCACUAAGGGGCUAAUGUCUGUCACUGCAGGGGAAGUCCAAGAACUCUGGACACACAUCUUGGACCUCCUGGACUUCUCUGGCCUCUGCAGGUGUGUGCCUGGUGUAGGGCAGGUCCUCACUGGGAUGGAUGGGGCUGGUGUUAAUGAUGAUUCACCUGAUGAUGACCCUGCAGAACAUAAAGUACUUCUGGGUGCAGACAUGCAGGAGACCUUGAAAGUCAUUCUGUGACAGUGUCCUCACUGGUAACCCUCAGAGUCAAGUUUGGCCAUGGGCAAAUCCCUUGUGACCUCUUUAUUUUCUCCAGCAUCCAGCCAGUCCUCUCUCUCUUUUCUGGCUUCUGUAUCACUAGUGGAUUUGUGGCUUUGCUGGCAGGUGCCAGUUCCCUGGAGCCUAUGAACUUCUCAUCAGCUCCAUCCAAUAAUCUUGACAGGAGCCUGAAGCCUAUUUAAAGUUGCUGCCCCCUGGUGGAGCCUUACUAAGUUCCUGGUUAUGGUCCAAGGUCAUUGCCAGCUCUUAGCUCAUGGGCAGAGCUGAGACCUUUCUUUGCCAUGCCUGGUGCCCAGCUCAGGCUCCCAGGUCUGCCCCCUCUCCAGGGAUCCUCACACAUCCCAGAAUGGUCUUCCAGGACCUGUCCCUGCAGUGUUCACAGUGUCAGAACACAGCAACAAAAGCAGAUGUAAAUGCUUCCAGCAGAAGGAAGGAGGGUUUUGCACUCCUGGACCAGGGCUGAGGCAGGGCUGUGUAUUAAGAGUGUAGACUUUAGACGGUUCAAUUAAAAUUAUAUGUGGAAAGUCCUUAUUAUCAUUAAAGGCACCAUGAGGA